rnacentral:sRNA from 12 species
CAUGAUGAGCUGUCAUAGCUUGGAUUGUAUAGCAGGUAGUCGCAGUCGCCUACAUUAAAUAAUUUUUUUAAUGUAAAAAAGAUUCAUUCAAAAUGAAUCUUUUGAAACGUUAGAAUUGUUAUGAUUUUAAUGAACUGU